ACUGGUUGACGGAACGAUUGGUCACCCAGGCGGAGCAUUAAAAAAGGUUUGCCCUGCCUGGGUCACCAAAUGUUCCGGAAAGCUAGG
rnacentral:pre_miRNA from 13 species